CGGGCCAUUACGGGUUAUCCGUC
rnacentral:siRNA from 1 species